rnacentral:rRNA from 1 species
UACGGAGGAUCCAAGCGUUAUCCGGAUUUAUUGGGUUUAAAGGGUGCGUAGGCGGGGAAUUAAGUCAGUGGUGAAAGUUUGCAGCUCAACUGUAAAAUUGCCAUUGAAACUGAUUUUCUUGAGUGUAAAUGAGGUAGGCGGAAUGUGUUGUGUAGCGGUGAAAUGCUUAGAUAUAACACAGAACACCGAUUGCGAAGGCAGCUUACUGGGAUACAACUGACGCUGAUGCACGAAAGCGUGGGGAUCGAAACAGG